AAUGGUUUCUUACUUCCUAAAAGUAAGUGGUGCGGAUGGGAUUUCCUGCCUGGUUUCUAAUUUCCAGUUAAAAAAUUAGUGGCGAGCCUGCAA
rnacentral:ncRNA from 1 species